GGUGGCCUAGUGGUUAGAGCAUCUGCCUCAGAUGCAGGAGGUCAUGGGUUCAGAUCCCUGGUUGAUUCA